UUAAAGAGCAAAAUUCCAUCUUUAUUAUAUACAUAUCGUAUGUUUUCGUCGUUCUGAUUAUUUUCUUCAGUCUUGUUUUGUGUUUGGAUGCCGAGAAAAUUAUUGAGAAGAAAAUUCUGGGUUUCAAGUUCUGGGUUUCUUGUUAUAUUUUCAAGAAGUGCUCGACUCAAUUGGGGAAAAUGCGUGCGUGUGUGUAUGGGGGUGAUGAAGAACCCAUUGAGCCAGUCUGUAAAGAUAUAGAAGAAAAUGAAGGGGAAAUUGAUUCUGACCUUCUUCAGUCUGCUUGUCGACACAGAGAAGGACGGCCACCGGAUUUCUUUCAACAACACUUUCAAAGAGUUUGCAGGUGGAAAAGAAAGGCAAUUACAAUCCAAAGAAGAAACAUCCGCUGAAGAGGAACACAAUGGCUGUCAAGCAUGUCAGAGAAAUGAUGCAGAGGAUCCGUAAUUCUUUGAAAAAAGAUUUCCAAACCAUGUGUGACGAGGAUGAUGAUGAUACUAAUUCAGAGCAUUCGGAAUGCAAGCAGCGGAAGGCAAUGGUGAAGAAGAACAAGAUCAAGAAAGGCACGGGAGGCUCGAUGAAGACCGCGAAGAAGAAGAGAAAUGCUCUGAGCAAUGGCUCGGACCGUUGGUUAUGCAACUCAUGUAUUUAUGAUUACCGGGGAUAAGGGAAUUCGAACUUGAAACUCAAUAAUUGAAAAUCAUAGUGACUUGUUUUCUAA